AAAUGUCUCACACCGUGGUUGCGUCGCCCUAUUUCCCCACCGUGAGGUCAGCGGCGAACUGACCAAGGCAGAGGUCGGCGGCAAACUGACCAAACCAGGUAGCAGUGCGUGGAGUCGCCUACACUCUACCAUUGCUAAUCCUCUCGAUUUCAGACCUCUUGCAUCAGAUCUUUGCCUCUCAAGAGUUUCUUCACCUUGAAUUUGCUAAACCUGUAGUUUUUGCCUCCUGUAAUUAAUUUGAUUGACAUGGAUUGAAGAAAACCCC